rnacentral:other from 1 species
AAUUCCCUGCGGUGCGCGUGCUUUGAGCGAAGAAUCUUGAGCCAAUAGCAUUAAUAUUGGGAGCCUAACUCGGGUAGGAGCUUUUAGCGCUUAUCUGGAGGGCACCCACCUGUAAAUAACAGGAUCAAGAUAAUUCGAUUUCACACGGCAAUCGCGGGGAUUUU